GAUCAAUCAGAAGCUGGAGGGACUCAAACUCUGGGAAUUAGGAUGACUGGAGAGAAGCCGUAAAGGGAACGGUGCAGGAAUCAAAACCAAUAAAUUUGGGCUGUACUUGCAACUCCAGCCAACGGGAACUCCGGCAGGUUAUGCCACUUCCAGGGCAGAAAUCACUAACCGUCACAACCCACCAUCCACUGUGCUUGAG
rnacentral:lncRNA from 1 species